GCUGGGUACGAGGCCGAGGAAACACUAAUCACCCCUACACAAGCCUAGUAUGGGCGGGUUUCGCACAUACUGUCGGCACACUCACAACAAAACAAACUCAAUCUAGAACCUAACCUAAAGCCAAAGUUCCAGAUCCUAACUAGACACUCGACUCUACAACACAAACCAAUAGUACCAGUAGUCCGGCCUAUAUGGCCUAAGAGCAACAUUAUUGGGAGUCUCUUAAGGCAUCCCUUAAGGAAAGGGGGUGGAGACCGAGGAAGAAAGAGAAGGGAAAGCCCUUAAUUAAGGGCUGUCCCUUACUCUCUAAUGACCAAAAAAAAAAAAAAAAAAAAAAACAGAACAAGGGACUCUCUCCCUCUCUCUCUUCAUCCCACCAAUAAUGUUGCUCUAAGACCCUUAGUACUAACUACUAAACAAUAAUAUCAAUACUAAACAACACAAUCAAACCGUUACCCAGAUAGUCCAGCCUCCCGCUGAGAAACUAUCUUUAAAGAUAACGGGAACCUGCACUCAACAAUAUCAACACGCAAUAAGAGAAAACAUGAUGCAUCCUAGCCCUAGUCCUAGUCAGGUUAUUAACUCAGUCUUAAUUCCAUUCAUCUCAGCUUAGCCCUUGCUAAACUGAGUCCGGUUCCAUAAAUAAAAUAACCCUAAGGACUCUACCAUUCAAUAACGUGAUCAUUCUACUCUAUAUGCGACUUGAUCUACCCUAAAUUCCAAGUGGAAUUCAAACAAACCAACUCACAGUGUUCUAGGCGAGAAGCUGCUGGUUGAUCGGAGAGGACUUGGCCAAAACCCAAGGGACACCUUGACUGGACUGGACUGAACUGACCUCGACUUGGACAAAACCUCGGCUUGAUCAUGAAGACACUAACAGGUCUGGACGGCCUGAUCUGAACAGAACCUUCUUUAGCUCCUGGACAGUUCUUCGGACUUCCCGGCGGAGUAUCGAGCAUAACUUCGACUGAUCUGAACCCGUGGUUCUGAACUAACUCUGGGCAGCACCUCCACUUGACCAUCAUAGAAUAUGACUGGCUUGGACGAAUUGAAUUGGACAGAGCUUCCGCGUCACAAUCGUAGAGAAUCGCCGAUUGGACGGAACUGGCCUUCUCGGUGGAGUAUCGGUCUUCAGAAUCAACC
rnacentral:lncRNA from 1 species